rnacentral:rRNA from 1 species
CAAUAGCGUAUAUUUAAGUUGUUGCAGUUAAAAAGCUCGUAGUUGGAUUUCGGAUGGGACUUGCCGGUCCGUCGUUUCGAUGUGCACUGGCCAGUCCUAUCUUGUUGUCGGGGACUAGCUCCUGGGCUUCACUGUCCGGGACUAGGAGCUGACGAGGUUACUUUGAGUAAAUUAGAGUGUUCAAAGCAAGCCUACGCUCUGAAUACAUUAGCAUGGAAUAACACGAUAGGACUCUGGCUUAUCUUGUUGGUCUGUGAGACCAGAGUAAUGAUUAAGAGGGACAGUCGGGGACAUUCGUAUUUCAUUGUCAGAGGUGAAAUUCUUGGAUUUAUGAAAGACGAACUUCUGCGAAAGCAUUUGUCAAGGAUGUUUUCAUUAA